GACGAACGCUGGCGGCGUGCUUAAUACAUGCAAGUCAACUGAGCUUAAGAUAGCAAUAUUUUAAGAACGGUGGCGCACGGGUGAGUAACACGUAGGUAAUCUGCCUUUAGGUCUGACAUAAUUCCGCGAAAGCGGGACUAAAAUCAGAUGAUGCAGCGGCUCGACAUCGAGACAGUUGUUAAACCUUCGGGGCCUAAAGAUGAGCCUGCGUCUGAUUAGGUAGUUGGCGGAGUAAAAGCCCACCAAGCCUGCGAUCAGUAGCUGGUCUGAGAGGAUGAUCAGCCACACUGGAACUGAGACACGGUCCAGACUCCUACGGGUGGCUG
rnacentral:rRNA from 1 species